CCAUUUUCCCAUUUACCCAUUUUUCCACUGUACAUUAAAGAAAUACCCAUUUUCCCAUUUUCCACUGUACAUCUUCCCAUUUUCCAUCUACCCAUUUUUCCAUCUACCCAUUUUUUCCACGACCCAUUCCGCCACCACCGCUUCCGUCAACGGCUCCAACACCCAACACCGAUUCACCGCCGUUUCAACGGCUCUCCGUCUCCUCACCGUCGCCUCGCCCGAUUCACCGCCGUUUCAACGGCUCACCGUCGCCUCGCCCGAUUCACCGCCGUUUCAACCGUCGCCUCACCGUCGCCUCGCCGUUUCAACUGCGCAACUUGCAAUCUCGGAAUCUCCGUGAAGUAG